rnacentral:rRNA from 1 species
CAUGGAGGGUGAGAAUCCCGUCUUUGACACGGACUACCAGUGCAUUGUGAUGCGCUCUCAAAGAGUCGAGUUGUUUGGGAUUGCAGCUCAAAAUGGGAGGUAAAUUUCUCCUAAGGCUAAAUACCGGCGAGAGACCGAUAGCGAACAAGUACCGUGAGGGAAAGAUGAAAAGAAUUUUGAAAAGAAAGUCAAACAGUACGUGAAAUUGUUGAAAGGGAAACGAUUGAAGCCAGUCGUACCGACGGGAAUUCAACUUCUCGAGUGCUAAUCGUGGGUGACGUUGAGCCUCACGGCCUUCGUUGCUUGUGUUGUUGGUGCUUUUGGGGUGUACUUUUCCGUAUGGUAGGUCAGCAUCGAUUUCGAUCGUCAUAAAAUGAUCGGGGGAAUGUAGCUUCGGUCUCGUAUCGGAGUGUUAUAGACCUUGGUAGAUGUGACGAUUGGGAUCGAGGAUUGCAACGAAUACCCUCUGGGCUAUCCGUCUGACCUCUGAAAGUCGCUCGGGUGUCGAAAGCGUGCUUAUGGCUAUUCGAGUUGGCGGUCAACAGGUUAGAACGUGAUUACAUUCGUUAAGGAUGUUGACGUAAUGG